CUGAUGGCGGCCGUGCAGCUGGUGGAGUCCGGAGGGGGACAACAGACACCCGGGGGGUCCCUCACCCUCCGCUGCAAGGGCUCCGGCUUCACCUUCAGCAGCGUCGGCAUGGUUUGGGUGCGACAGGCCCCCGGGAAGGGGCUGGAGAUCGUCGCCAGUAUUUGGAAUGAUGGUAGUAGCACAUGGUACGCGCCGUCGGUCAAGGGGCACUUCACCAUCUCCAGGGACAACUCCCAGAGCACGGUCACGCUGCAGAUGAACAGCCUCCGGGACGACGACACGGCCACCUACUACUGCGCGAAAGCUGAUUAUGGUGGUUGUGGUGCUGGUAAUGCUGAUGGUGAUGCUUAUGGUGGUGGCACCAACCCCAGCCCCAUGGAACAACAUCCCUGCGCUGUGUCCCCAAAUCAACCGCUAUUGACCCAAAACUGA